GCUAAACGCGAAGAACCUUACCUGGGCUUGACAUGUUAGUCGCAGACUUGCGAAAGCUUGUCGUCACUUCGGGUGGACUAUCACAGGUGCUGCAUGGCUGUCGUCAGCUCGUGUCGUGAGAUGUUGGGUUAAGUCCCGCAACGAGCGCAACCCUUGUCUUUAGUUGCCAGCGAGUCAUGUCGGGCACUCUAAGGAGACUGCCUCGGAUAACGAGGAGGAAGGUGGGGAUGACGUCAAGUCAGCAUGGCCUUUAUGUCCAGGGCUACACACGUGCUACAAUGGGCGGCACAGAAGGACGCGAGACCGCGAGGUCAAGCCAACCCUUAAAACCGUUCUCAGUUCGGAUUGCAGGCUGCAAUUCGCCUGCAUGAAGUCGGAAUCGCUAGUAAUCGCGGAUCAGCUACGCCGCGGUGAAUACGUUCUCGGGUCUUGUACACACCG
rnacentral:rRNA from 1 species